UGUAGAUCGAUGGACAGAGUGUAAAUCUGCCUCUUUGGGGACGGUACUGGUUGAAAACAAUGAUAAGGUGGUUAAAGAAAGUUUCAAAAGAUGAGAAUAAGAAAGGGUUAGAGAGAUUUGUAAAUUAGGUGAAGAGAAAUGUAGGAGAAAGGAAUGUUUGUCUCUCCUCCACCAACACAGACAGAUGUCAGCUUGUUUCUGCAGCAGGCAGCAGCAGAGUGUGAGGAAAGAUAAGAGCAACACAAAGAUGCAGAAAGGAUGCAAAGAGGAAGUGCAGAGAAAGUAGUUAUGAAGGUAAAGAGGUUUUUAGUGGAUUGAGAAUGUCUUUUUUUUUUUUGU